rnacentral:rRNA from 1 species
GUCCUAAAGGGUUGUUCGAGACUAGAACGUUGAUAGGCAGGGUGUGUAAGCGUUGUGAGGCGUUGAGCUAACCUGUACUAAUUGCCCGUGAGGCUUAACCAU